ACACUCCUGCGGGAGGCAGCAGUGGGGAAUAUUGGACAAUGGGCGCAAGCCUGAUCCAGCCAUGCCGCGUGAGUGAUGAAGGCCCUAGGGUUGUAAAGCUCUUUCACCGGAGAAGAUAAUGACGGUAUCCGGAGAAGAAGCCCCGGCUAACUUCGUGCCAGCAGCCGCGGUAAUACGAAGGGGGCUAGCGUUGUUCGGAAUUACUGGGCGUAAAGCGCACGUAGGCGGAUCGAUCAGUCAGGGGUGAAAUCCCAGGGCUCAACCCUGGAACUGCCUUUGAUACUGUCGAUCUGGAGUAUGGAAGAGGUGAGUGGAAUUCCGAGUGUAGAGGUGAAAUUCGUAGAUAUUCGGAGGAACACCAGUGGCGAAGGCGGCUCACUGGUCCAUUACUGACGCUGAGGUGCGAAAGCGUGGGGAGCAAACAGGAUUAGAUACCCGUGUAGUCCCAUGA
rnacentral:rRNA from 1 species